GACUGUCUUCGCGGCGGAGCUCGACCGCCGCAAUCGGUGAUCGUCGACUACAUCGACACCCACAAGCAGGCCUACGGCGUCGAGCCGAUCUGCCGUGUGCUCUCCGCGCAUGGUUGCAAGAUUGCGCCG
rfam:Mycobacterium sp. YC-RL4, complete genome.